GACGAACGCUGGCGGCGUGCUUAACACAUGCAAGUCGAACGAAGUGGCGGACGGGUGAGUAACGCUUAAUCACCCUGCCCUUGAGGGGGGGAUAACAGUUGAAAACGACUGCUAAUACCGCAUACGGAUGGCGGGGAGUGGGGGUGAUGAGCUAGUUGGGGGGGUAACGGCCCACCAAGGCGAUGAUCAGUAGCCGGUCUUGGGGGAUGGACUGCCAACUCGGGACGUGAGCAAGGCCCAGAAUCCUACGGGAGGCAGCAGUGGGGAAUCUUCCGCAAUGGACGAAAGUCUGACUGAGCAACGGCGCGUGAGUUAUGACGGCCUUCGGGUUGGAAAGGUAUGUUAAUCGGGACGCGGUACCGGAAUAGAAAGCCACGGCUAACUACGUGCCAGCAGCCGCGGUAAUAC
rnacentral:rRNA from 1 species